CAAAAUGAGCGAGUAAGGAACGAAUAAAGAAGAGCAGGAUGAUUCGAAUUUAUUACAGCACCUGGCUCAAAGCGACGUUGCUUUUUGAUCCUUCAAUGUCGACUCUUCCUAUCAUACUGAAGCAGAAUUCAGUACGCGUGGGAUUGUUAACCCACUAAUAGGGAACAAGACCUGGGGUUUAGACCGUCGUGAGGCAGGUUAGUUUUACCCUACUGAUGAAAAUUGUAGCAAUAGUAAUUGGACUUAGUACGAGAGGAACCGUUCAUUCGGAUAAUUGGUAUUUGGGCCCGCCUGAGCAGGCAAUAGCCCAAAGCUAUCAUCCAUUGGGUUAUGGCUGAACGCAUCUUUGUCAGAACCCGUGCUAGAACGCGACGACUACCGCCUUUUUCGAUUUUUAGUUGAAUACGAAUAGAUCUUCGGAUCCUGCAUCAUACUACAAGGGGUUGAUAUUGCAGAGUGGAAAGACUUUGUGAGGUUCCUCCUAAUGUUAGUUUCAAAUAUUGGAAGAGAUAAAUCCAUUGCAGACGACUUUAAUUGAACGGGAGCAGUGUAAGCAAUAGAGCAGCCUUGUUGCUACGAUCUGCCGAGAUUAAGCCCAUUGUUCUACAGAUUU
rnacentral:ncRNA from 1 species